rnacentral:rRNA from 1 species
CGACCGGCGCACGGGUGCGUAACGCGUAUGCAACCUACCUUUAACAGGGGAGUAACACUGAGAAAUUGGUACUAAUACCCCAUAAUAUCAUAGAAGGCAUCUUUUAUGGUUGAAAAUUCCGAUGGUUAGAGAUGGGCAUGCGUUAUAUUAGCUAGUUGGUGGGGUAACGGCUCACCAAGGCGACGAUACAUAGGGGGACUGAGAGGUUAACCCCCCACACUGGUACUGAGACACGGACCAG